AACCAGUGAUGAAAACGAUUCUGCCAUAUGAAACCUGAUUUCACUAUUACCGUUCCACUUUUUUCUGAGGUU